rnacentral:rRNA from 1 species
AUUGAACGCUGGCGGCAGGCUUAACACAUGCAAGUCGAGCGGGGGAAGGUAGCUUGCUACUGGACCUAGCGGCGGACGGGUGAGUAAUGCUUAGGAAUCUGCCUAUUAGUGGGGGACAACAUCUCGAAAGGGAUGCUAAUACCGCAUACGUCCUACGGGAGAAAGCAGGGGAUCACUUGUGACCUUGCGCUAAUAGAUGAGCCUAAGUCGGAUUAGCUAGUUGGGGGGGUAAAGGCCUACCAAGGCGACGAUCUGUAGCGGGUCUGAGAGGAUGAUCCGCCAGACUGGGACUGAGACACGGCCCAGACUCCUACGGGAGGCAGCAGUGGGGAAUAUUGGACAAUGGGGGGAACCCUGAUCCAGCCAUGCCGCGUGUGUGAAGAAGGCCUUAUGGUUGUAAAGCACUUUAAGCGAGGAGGAGGCUCUUUUGGUUAAUACCCAAGAUGAGUGGACGUUACUCGCAGAAUAAGCACCGGCUAACUCUGUGCCAGCCGCCGCAGUAA